CAUCAGGCCCAAACAACAAGUGAGAAGGCAGCCACCACCUUUUGCAGCAACAACAGGAGAGGAGGAAGAAGGAACUGAACAGCAGGCUGUAGUGGAAGUGAUGACAGAACAACUACAACCCACAGUGCAACCAUUGAUAGUCCAAGAAAGUAUGCUGUCCCAGAUGUUGUCACAGGUUACAGAUCAUAUUAACCUGUCAAUUGAUCAUGGGCCUCUCCCUUCUUCAUCUUUCAUCGACAACAACCAGCCCACUUCAAGACCAGUUGUCCUCACCACAGCAACAAAACAAGGAAGGUCCAAGGCCAAGAAUCAGGCAAAGAAGAGGAAUGAGACGUCUACUGGAGAGAAUCCUGGAAAAAA